CAGCAGCCGCGGGAAUACGAAGGGGGCUAGCGUUGUUCGGAAUUACUGGGCGUAAAGGGCGCGUAGGCGGCCAUUCAAGUUAGAUGUGAAAGCCCUGGGCUCAACCUAGGAAUUGCAUUUGAUACUGUUUGGCUUGAGUUCGGGAGAGGUGAGUGGAAUUCCCAGUGUAGAGGUGAAAUUCGUAGAUAUUGGGAAGAACACCGGUGGCGAAGGCGGCGACCUGGUCCUUGACUGACGCUGAGGCGCGAAAGCGUGGGGAGCAAACAGGAUUAGAUACCCCCGUAGUCCCUGUCUCUUAUAC
rnacentral:rRNA from 1 species